rnacentral:rRNA from 1 species
AUUGAACGCUGGCGGCAUGCUUUACACAUGCAAGUCGAACGGCAGCGCGGGCUUCGGCCUGGCGGCGAGUGGCGAACGGGUGAGUAAUGCAUCGGAACGUGCCCAGUAGUGGGGGAUAGCCCGGCGAAAGCCGGAUUAAUACCGCAUACGACCUGAGGGUGAAAGCGGGGGACCGAAAGGCCUCGCGCUAUUGGAGCGGCCGAUGUCGGAUUAGCGAGUUGGUGGGGUAAAGGCUUACCAAGGCGACGAUCCGUAGCUGGUCUGAGAGGACGACCAGCCACACUGGGACUGAGACACGGCCCAGACUCCUACGAGAGGCAGCAGUGGGGAAUUUUGGACAAUGGGGGCAACCCUGAUCCAGCCAUGCCGCGUGCGGGAAGAAGGCCUUCGGGUUGUAAACCGCUUUUGUUCGGGAAGAAAUCCUCUGGGCUAAUACCCCGGGGGGAUGACGGUACCGGAAGAAUAAGCACCGGCUAACUACGUG